rnacentral:rRNA from 1 species
AUACGUAGGGGGCUAGCGUUAUCCGGAAUUACUGGGCGUAAAGGGUGCGUAGGUGGCUUCUUAAGUCAGAAGUGAAAGGCUACGGCUCAACCGUAGUACGCUUUUGAAACUAAGAGACUUGAGUGCAGGAGAGGAGAGUAGAAUUCCUAGUGUAGCGGUGAAAUGCGUAGAUAUUAGGAGGAAUACCAGUUGCGAAGGCGGCUCUCUGGACCGUAACUGACACUGAGGCACGAAAGCGUGGGGAGCAAACAGGAUUAGUUACCCUGGUAGUCCACGCCGUAAACGAUGAGUACUAGCUGUCGGGGGUUACCCCCCUCGGUGGCGCAGCUAACGCAUUAAGUACUCCGCCUGGGAAGUACGCUCGCAAGAGUGAAACUCAAAGGAAUUGACGGGG